UCCAGCUGAGCCACUCCUACAUGCCUAACCCUCAAUACCAUGAGAGUUGCAGCAAUGGAGGCUUGGAGAUGAAGAGAAUUUCCUAGGAUUAUAAAGGAGAUAAGUGGCAAAGCAAAGAUUGGAAUUCAAACCUCUGAAGUCUGGCUUCUGUGCUUUUCCCUUUAUGGCACCUUGCUUCUCCGGAAUGAAAAUACGGAUAUGGUGAUUAAGAGCUUACCAGCUUGCGGUACUCAAAACACACAUACCUGGUACAUCAUAACACAGGGCAAGCCAGUAUUACUCCCCUGGAUUUGAACAUUUUAGAAAGAAAUUCCCAAACGUUACGUUUCCAUUGAGAAAGAACCAUUGUGUUUUGCUGAUGAAGACAUCAAGGCCUGGAGAUGAAAGAGAAUUUACUGGGAUUAUAAGGUGGGUAAGUGGCAAAAUGAAUAUGGGAGGGUGGAUCUUUUAAAUUCCUGUCCUAGAGCACGCGGAGGCUUGUGGGAUCAAGAAUUUUUGUAGCCAUGCUGUAUAAGGUAUUUAGUUGGCAAAUCAAGUCUGAAGACAAAAAUGAAGUAACCGGUGUGAUUUUCAAGUAUCAGGAUAGGUUUUCAGUGGUCUCCGAGGGAUAUAGAAACUGAGGUGAGUGUUACCGCAUUUGGCGUAAUCCCCUUGGCUGCUUGUGCGUUCGUUUCAAAGAUGGCGCCUUUGGCUCUAAGGGUGUUCUGUAAGGUUUUCUUGUUGGGACCACCAUGGAGGGUCUCCAAAUGCUCUUAACUGGCGUGUUAAGUUAUCGUGUUCCCUGACGGAACACGCAGUGAUUUUUCCUGUUCCAAAAUAU